AUUGAACGCUGGCGGCAUGCUUUACACAUGCAAGUCGAACGGUAACAGGCCGCAAGGUGCUGACGAGUGGCGAACGGGUGAGUAAUGCAUCGGAACGUGCCCAGUCGUGGGGGAUAACUACUCGAAAGAGUAGCUAAUACCGCAUACGAUCUAUGGAUGAAAGCGGGGGACCGUAAGGCCUCGCGCGAUUUGAGCGGCCGAUGUCAGAUUAGGUAGUUGGUGGGGUAAAGGCUCACCAAGCCAACGAUCUGUAGCUGGUCUGAGAGGACGACCAGCCACACUGGGACUGAGACACGGCCCAGACUCCUACGGGAGGCAGCAGUGGGGAAUUUUGGACAAUGGGCGCAAGCCUGAUCCAGCAAUGCCGCGUGCAGGAAGAAGGCCUUCGGGUUGUAAACUGCUUUUGUACGGAACGAAACGGCGCUGGUUAAUACCCGGGGCUAAUGACGGUACCGUAAGAAUAAGCACCGGCUAACUACGUG
rnacentral:rRNA from 1 species